rnacentral:rRNA from 1 species
UACGUAGGGUCCAAGCGUUAAUCGGAAUUACUGGGCGUAAAGCGUGCGCAGGCGGUUUUAUAAGCCAGAUGGGAAAUCCCCGGGCUUAACCUGGGAAUGGCAUUUGGGACUGUAAGGCUAGAGUACGGCAGAGGGGACUAGAAUUCCUGGUGUAGCAGUGAAAUGCGUAGAUAUCAGGAGGAAUACCGAUGGCGAAGGCAGGUCCCUGGGUCGAUACUGACGCUCAUGCACGAAAGCGUGGGGAGCAAACAGG